UUCCAUCGAUAUACUGCUCAUCAAGAACGGAUCCGUUGAAAACCGUUCCGAAACCGGAUUAGGCUUCCAUUAUUCAUCUCUCCCCGCGGCCACAACAAGUUGAGGUGCUCCUGCGUGUUAUUCUUCCAAGCUGAACUGUUGGAGUGUAUUCGGGUUCGGAACCUUCAAAUUUUCGUUUCCAAUACCCGGAGGAGUAUAAAGAAAAGAAAAACGGUGAUUAAAUGGCCGGAUCACCACGAAAAAGUUUUCGUUGUUUGGGAGGCGGAAGCUGGUCGGUCUGGUCAUCGCUCGAAGUACGGCGGCAGGCCGACGUAGAACCACCGGGUUAUUUCCGACAAAGCGGAAGCCAGUCGCCCAUCGUGCCGUAUGCAAGAGGCUGAUAAAUAUUUGCAAUGCUGUUAAUUCGGAUUAAAGUUCCUCUGUUACCCAUCCUGUUGCUCUUCGAAACGCUAUGACAACAAAACUGAUUCAAUCGGAAAUCAAAACAAUACGGCGACAGGAACCCUGGCGAUAGGAUGUCCGUUUGAAGCUACCCGGUUGGAGUAGAGAUUCGUCUCCUGCAAGCAAAGGUCAAAUGCCAGUUGCCAGCAGUAGUGGAUCGGUAGCGAAACGAUGGAACUAAAUUGGUUGCCUUGCCCAUUUUAAGUUGAGAGGAUUCAUGGAAGGUUCCACCGUAAGCCGUUACCUUCACCCAAAACUUAAGUUUUGAUAAGACUCGUUGCAUUCAAUGAAUCAGAUAACAGCUCACGAAAAUAUUCCAUAUUCACCAAUAUUGCCAUUAGAUGUAAGAUAAUGUUUAUAUAGAAGACAUAUAUAACUCCAGAAACUCGAGCGAAAAUGAAUAAAAAAUCAAUAUGAAUGAA